GGAGAGACCUACCCAGCCCGGGAAAAAAACAAACAAAGAGAGACCUUACUGGUGCUGUUUACACAUCUGUGUGGAGGACUAUCUGGGCUUGUGUGUUUUGACAUCGCGCUCAAAUGGCUGCACGGCUCCUGUCUCAGUGAAACGGAAGAUGUAGAGGAGCUGAAUGCUGGAGAGUGAUUGAAGGAGUGAAGCUGAGCCCUGGAUGGAGGGAUCUGCUGGAGGAAAGGAGAGAGAGAGGAUGCGGUCUCUUAAAGCCCCUGCCACCGGUGUCCUUGCCAGCCUCCAUCAAUCGCCCGGCGAUGGGCGGAACAGAGGAAGAGAGGGGCGAUAGAUGAAGUGAAAACUUUUCGAGUGUCGGCGGAACUGGGCCACAGCAUCCGAGCUGGGAGACCUGAGAGAAGAGAUGGGAGAGGGCGGCUCCGCUGACUGGAGGAGUACCAGCUGGUCUCAAACAGGUAGGGAGCCGUGCCAAGUCCCUGUGCCAGCGUCCGUCGUGCCCGCUGACGUUCGUCGUCUGUUGGCUUCCAUCAGGGCCUCUCUCUCUCUCUGAUCUGGAAUGAAGAUGAUUUGAUUAGACCUCUGGUAAAGGCUGGGCAGGCCCUAUACAAAGUCAUUAGGAUGGCCAGGAGUGGACUGGGGUGUUACGGGUGAGUAGUGGGUGACCGCAGCGGACUCACAUUUGCACUGGACUGUUAGUUGUAAUUCGGUUAAAAUGUUGUUGUGUGUCUGUGCAUGUGUGCGUAUGCACCUUUUCAACUUCCCUACUCUCAUCCCUCUGGUAAUUGAAUUGUGGUACAAUAAUGGAUCUAUGAUUUUAUUUUGUCUUAGGUCCAAAUGAGUUUUGGUGUGAACGUACACACACUGGCAGGUGUUUACACAUUACAGGGGCUCAAAGAAAAUCUCCCAAACUCUGUAGAUCACACCUGGCCUAUACACUGUAUGUAGUCUAUAUGCUAUGCAAAGAGGUAUGGAUACAAGUAUAGAAGGACCAAGUCUUUGUAUGGGAGACAAGGAUAUGC
ensembl:lncRNA